AGCAGCCGCGGUAAUUCCAGCUCCAAUAGCGUAUAUUAAAGUUGUUGCAGUUAAAAAGCUCGCAGUUGAAUUUCGGGAUCAAGGAAUCGGUCAUGCCUCGGUAUGUACUGGUUUUAUUGGUUCUCACCUUCUAAAGAACCAUGAUGUCAUUCAUUUGAUGUUAUGGGGAAUUAGGACUGUUACCUUAGAAAAAUUAGAGUGUUUAAAGCAAGCUUACGCUUGAAUACAUUAGCAUGGAUAAUGAAAUAGGACAUCCGAUUCUA
rnacentral:rRNA from 1 species